GACGAACGCUGGCGGCGUGGAUUAGGCAUGCAAGUCGAACGGUAUCAUCCUUUCGGGGGUGAGAGAGUGGCGAACUGGUGAGUAACACGUAGGUUAUCUACCCUCAAGACGGGGACAACCCAGGGAAACUUGGGCUAAUACCGGAUGUGAGCAACUUUUAGUUGUUUGAAAGGUGGCGUAAGCUGUCGCUUGGGGAUGAGCCUGCGUCCUAUUAGUUAGUUGGUGAGGUAACGGCUCACCUAGGCAAUGAUAGGUAGGCGGCCUUAACGGGUGGUCGCCCACACUGGGAUUGAGAUACGGCCCAGACUCCUACGGGAGGCAGCAGUCGAGAAUAGUCUACAAUGGUCGGAAGACUGAUAGUGCGACGCCGCGUGAACGAUGAAUCCCUUCGGGGUUAAAGUUCUUUUAUAUGUGAGCAGUGCUUCUUAUAUUAACAGUAUGGGGAGAGAGAUAUUAGCAUAUGAAUAAGCAACGGCUAACUCCGUGCCAGCAGCCGCGGUAAUA
rnacentral:rRNA from 1 species